rnacentral:lncRNA from 1 species
GGAAACAUGAAGAGAAAUAAAAGCUAAAAGAGCUUCUAAUUGAUGUGCUAAGAUGAUAUAUUCAAUCUCUUCUAGAUAUGAAAGCUUAUAAACUAUCACUUGGCUGAACAUCAACCGAAUAUGUUGCUGCAACUUCUCAGUUUUCUUUAAGUGCCCAUUUCCGACUGUCUUAACACAUUGGUAUAGAUAAGACCUUCAUGGAUGCUCCAAUAUAUGGAAAAACUUAGAAAAAUUUAACCAUACCAGCAUAAGAUACAUACUCGUAUCCAACACUCACCCCCGAGUCCAAUUAAUCAUAAACCAAUAAUUACCCAAACAAAGUAAAAUGCAGCCAGGAUACUGGGAUCAAAUGUAGAAAAUAUAUACAAAAUAACAAACCAGGUUCUGCAAUUUGCUGUCAAGCAAAAGGUAUCUAGACAACUUGACAGCAUUUCAUAUGUUCCUGGAUUUAUUAUGGAAGAAAUAAUCAUAUAGCUGAGCCUACAAGUUCCAGAUUCAAGUUUAAUGAGAAAACAUUCUCACUAGCAACAUUUUAGUAAUACAAAUGAGUUAAGAUAAAACUAAGAGAUGUGUACAAGCAAAAGAAAAUUACCUCCACAAGAACAAAAUGAAAUUCAUUUAUUUGAUUAAUACAUGUAUCUUAGCAAUUCGACAUAGAUCCAGUCUAUUUUAUCGAAACAUGAGAUGAAGGGAUUUGCUUUGUCUACCAAACCAAAUUUUAGGAAAUAAAAACAGAUACAUAAUUUUUGAUAACUUCUUGCUGCCUCUUCCAAAGAUUCCCGAUUUACUUUUCGUACUUUACUAGCUUAGUGAGAGAUAGAAACAUUGUCUCGUUGUAAUAAUGAGCGAAUCAAUGAAUGAAUAUGCAGUCUAAGCCAGACUACCCUAUACAUUUUCUAAAUUGGUAAAAAGGAGAGAUACCCAUGCCCUUCCCAUCUUCUACAUUCUGUUUCUCAUAUGAAGUAACUCAUACCUACAUUACCCAGUUGAACUUUGAUAUGGACGCUUUUAUUGCAAUAGGAGUUUUUUAGUUUUAUUUAUUUAUUAUAUCAGGUUUUAUUAAGAGUUUUAGUUUUACUUAUUUUCUCUAUUAUAUUAGGUUUUUAUUUCCUUCAUAAACUCUAAGUUAGGAAUUCUAUUAGGACUCUUUUCUUUGUUAUUAACAAUCUAUAAAAGGGUGCCAAUAUGAAAUAAAGAGAUAAGCAAUUAUUCUAUCAAAAAGAAACAUUAUUUUGAGAGGGGUUUCAGUCAAGGACGAGUCUACCUUUUGAGUAGCCAUAGGUAGAAGCAAGAAUUCUUUCUCGUCUAGACCUGUAACUAGAUCCUACGCCAAGGCACAUAACAACUUGGUAUCCGAGCCAGCUGUCAUGGGUCACGAAAAGACUUUGACAGCCAAGCUGGAGGCUUUCAUGGAACAAAUGGCUUCAAGGCAACAAGCAUUAGAGGAGCAGGUGGCGAUAUUAUCUCUUUCGGUCCAAAAGAUAACGAAAGGGGAUUCAAAGAAAAAUAAUGAAGAACAAGGCAGCAGCGGAGGCACGAAAAGCAAGUAAACCUCUUUACUGCCGGGUUGGUAGAGUAACUUAGAAUUGAUAUUGUGAUGCAACAUCCGGAAAACCUUGGAGUUGCAAUGAAUAUGGCUCGAACAUUGGAACGUAACAAAAUGUCUCUUCCAAACUGUCAUCUCGAGCCAUCCUGAACUGGCCAACUUCCCAAAACACUGGCAGCAAUUCAAUCAUUCUAACAACUAAGAGCAUUGCAAAGGGAGGGAGACAAACAACAGAACCAACAGGGAACAAUGGCAAAAUAGGUUCUUCUGCACCAUUUAUUAAGCGAUUGACACAGACAGAAAUGGCGGAAAGAAGGGCUAACGGUCUGUGUUAUAAUUGUGACGAGUCUUAUUCCAUGGGACACAAAUGUAAAAGGUUUUGGAUAGAAGUACCAGAUGUUGAAGGCAAGCAAGAUGAUGAUGCGAUAGAUGAUUUUGGAUAAGUUCUGAAGUUUAUUCUGAAUUUGAGCUUGAGGACAAGCUCAACUCCAAGAAGGGGAGUAAUGAUAUGGAUGCUUUUAUUGCAAUAGGAGUUUUUAGUUUUAUUUAUUUAUUAUAUCAGGUUUUAUUAAGAGUUUUAGUUUUACUUAUUUUCUCUAUCAUAUUAGGUUUUUAUUUCCUUCAUAAACUCUAAGUUAGGAAUUCUAUUAGGACUCUUUUCUUUGUUAUUAACAAUCUAUAAAAGGGUGCCAAUAUGAAAUAAAGAGAUAAGCAUUCUAUCAAAAAGAAACGUUAUUUUGAGAGGGGGUUCAGUCAAGGACAAAUCUGCCUUUUGAGUAACCAUAGGUCGAAGCAAGAAUUCUUUCUUAUCUAGACCUGUGACUAGAUCCUACGCCAAGG